GACGAACGCUGGCGGCGUGCUUAACACAUGCAAGUCGAGCGGUAAGGCCCUUUCGGGGGUACACGAGCGGCGAACGGGUGAGUAACACGUGGGUGACCUGCCCUCAGCUCUGGGAUAAGCCUGGGAAACCGGGCCUAAUACUGGAUAUGACUCCAUGACGCAUGUUGUGGGGUGGAAAGCCUUGUGCGGCUGAGGAUGGGCCCGCGGCCUAUCAGCUUGUUGGUGGGGUGANGGCCUACCAAGGCGACGACGGGUAGCCGGCCUGAGAGGGCGACCGGCCACACUGGGACUGAGACACGGCCCAGACUCCUACGGGAGGCAGCAGUGGGGAAUCUUGCGCAAUGGGCGAAAGCCUGACGCAGCGACGCCGCGUGAGGGAUGACGG
rnacentral:rRNA from 1 species